CUGGCGGCGCGCUUAAACAUGCAAGUCGAACGAGAAAGUGGAGCAAUCCAUGAGUAAAGUGGCGUACGGGUGAGUAACACGUGGGUAAUCUACCUUUUAGUGAGGAAUAACGAUGGGAAACCGUCGCUAAUACCGCAUGAGCCCGAGAGGGGAAAGCAGCAAUGCGCUGAAAGAGGAGCCCGCGGCCGAUUAGCUAGUUGGUGGGGUAAGAGCCCACCAAGGCAAAGAUCGGUAGCCGGCCUGAGAGGGCACACGGCCACACUGGCACUGAAACACGGGCCAGACUCCUACGGGAGGCAGCAGUGGGGAAUCUUGCACAAUGGGGGAAACCCUGAUGCAGCGACGCCGCGUGAGCGAUGAAGCCCUUCGGGGUGUAAAGCUCUUUCGUCAGGGAAGAUGAUGACGGUACCUGGAGAAGCAGCUGCGGCUAACUACGUGCCAGCAGCCGCGGUAAUACGUAGGCAGCGAGCGUUGUUCGGAGUUACUGGGCGUAAAGGGUGUGUAGGCGGUUCUUUAAGUUUGGUGUGAAAUCUCCCGGCUUAACCGGGAGGGUGCGCCGAAUACUGAGGGACUAGAGUGCGGGAGAGGAAAGUGGAAUUCCUGGUGUAGCGGUGAAAUGC
rnacentral:rRNA from 1 species